rnacentral:tRNA from 1 species
GCUUCUAUGGCCAAGUUGGUAAGGCGCCACACUAGUAAUGUGGAGAUCANAUCCGAUUGGAAGCA